CCCCCGCACCGUCCACUACCUCCUCUUCCCCGACAGCGGCCCUCUAGCCAUGGGGCUCGUGGAUCCAGCCUUGAUGGUCGUGGAUCUGGCGAGCUCGCCAGCAGGCCAUCCUUCUCCAUGUGCGUGUGGUGGCUCAACCUCGACUGGUGGCGGCUUUGCAUGGAUCCGGUGUGGGCGGUGGCGUGGCUUCAGAUCUAGCAUCGGGGAGCACGUAGGGGUGGCUGGCAGUAGCGUUGGAAACGGGCUUGCCAAUGGGCUUAGAAAUGGGCUCUCCGAUGGGCUCUGAGUUCUAUUUUGUUUUUUAAUUCAUUAACCGAGGCGGGCAGUGCAACCGCCUCGGUUAAGUGUUGACACCAGAAGUGGCAAACGGUUAUACCGCAAGCGUACGGUAGUCAAUGUAGCCUUCACCGGGAGUAUUCCAGGUAUCGUGAUUUCCAUGGGGAACGCGAAGUGAAUUAACUAGGCUUUAGAUCGUUAGGUGAUGAUCAAAGGGUCCAGGAUAAUGGGGUAGAGAGGUCUAACUAGUAUUAAUGCCUGGUCUUUGGUAAUUAAGUAUAGUCAAGGUUUUUCACCUAACUCUUUACUGAGGGCGAUACCCGAAAAGGAGGAUUGAGUUAACGAGGUUUUUCACCUCCCCGUCUCCUAAG
rnacentral:lncRNA from 1 species